rnacentral:ncRNA from 2 species
UUUUCAUAAAAAGGGAGCAUGCUUAAGCAUGCUGAGAGGAAGUAUAUGCUUCGACCUAUAACUUGAUUCGGAUAAUGCCGACGUAAGGAAAUAUUUAAUUUAUGCU